CAGCAAGCAUUAGAGCAGGAGGCUGUCAUCCCCAUUAAGCAAGGGUCUUUCCAUGUAGAUAUUCCAGAUCCAGAUCUCCAAGAUGAAAUGAUUGUUCAGACCAUUGAGUGUGAGCUCAACAAGAUAGGCAACUCCAACGGCUUAACCCGUUCAAUCAGUAAUCUCAAAGUUGACAGUGCAUGAGGCUUUGAGGCUUCGACGACGGAAUUUCUCACAUUAUAAGAAGUCAAAUAUGGUUGGAUGCCUGAAUGUCGGUUUAGUAGGUUGAGGGACAAGGGCGUGUAAUGUCAGAAGUAGGAUCAAGUUAUUAAUUGAUAGAAUUGGG
rnacentral:misc_RNA from 1 species